rnacentral:lncRNA from 1 species
UCCGAGGCGAUAUUUACUGGCUUCUUGGAGGUGGAAACAUCCUCAUGAUCAGGAGAAGGGGAGUCCCGCAGCUGCAAAGAUGUGGACAUAUACGUGGGGGCAGACUCUGAAGUGACACUCCUCGAAGGUGCAUACUCACUCACCGUGGAAUGAGAUGCAGCUCUACCAGCUUCCCGGAUUAUCUUCCUGGUUUUCUUAAUUAACUCCCU